rnacentral:rRNA from 1 species
UACGGAGAGUGCAAGCGUUGUUCGGAAUUAUUGGGCGUAAAGGGUGCCUAGGCGGCUCGUUAAGUUCGAUGUGAAAUCCCUCGGCUCAACCGAGGAACUGCAUUGGAAACUGGCGGGCUUGAGUGCUGGAGGGGGUAGCGGAAUUCCCGGUGUAGAGGUGAAAUUCGUAGAUAUCGGGAGGAACACCAGUGGCGAAGGCGGCUACCUGGCCAGACACUGACGCUGAAGCACGAAAGCGUGGGGAGCAAACAGG